rnacentral:rRNA from 1 species
GAUGAACGCUGACAGAAUACUUAACACAUGCAAGUCUUUGGCGAAGCUGUGCUUGCACCGCCUAGCCAAGGCGGACGGGUGAGUAACGCGUAAGGAACUUGCCCUGCAGUCAGGGAUAACAGACGGAAACGACUGAUAAGACCUGGUAAAGUCAGGCGGACUCAUGUCCAGCCUGAUGAAAAGUGAUGCUGCAGGAGAGCCUUGCGUCCUAUUAGCUUGUUGGUGGGGUAACGGCCCACCAAGGCGAUGAUAGGUAGCCGGCCUGAGAGGGUGGACGGCCACAAGGGGACUGAGAUACGGCCCUUACUCCUACGGGAGGCAGCAGUGGGGAAUAUUGGACAAUGGGGGCAACCCUGAUCCAGCAAUUCUGUGUGCACGAUGAAGGUUUUCGGAUUGUAAAGUGCUUUCAGCAGGGAAGAAAAAAAUGACGGUACCUGCAGAAGAAGCGACGGCUAAAUACGUG